GACAGAGGGUGCAAACGUUGUUCGGAAUUACUGGGCGUAAAGCGCGUGUAGGCGGCAGCGUGUGUCGGGCGUGAAAUCCCAUGGCUCAACCAUGGAAGUGCACCCGAAACUGCGCAGCUAGAGUCCUGGAGAGGAAGGUGGAAUACUUGGUGUAGAGGUGAAAUUCGUAGAUAUCAAGUGGAACACCGGUGGCGAAGGCGGCCUUCUGGACAGUGACUGACGCUGAGACGCGAAAGCGUGGGGAGCAAACAGG
rnacentral:rRNA from 1 species